AUUUAUAUAGUUUAAUUAAAACAUUACAUUUUCAUUGUAAAAAUAAAUAUACAUA
rnacentral:tRNA from 1 species